UUCUUAAUCAUGUUUUACUUUGUUCUUAACUAAAAAUUACAAUCCAGGAAUAAUAAAUGAUUUUCUAACAAUGUAAAAUAUAUCAGUUACUGUUCUGUCAGGUAUAUAUUCAAUAAAAUCAGAAUAAUACUUUGAUUGCUGAAUUGUUUAACUACUUGUGUUCUGCAUUUUGUAUCAUUAAAUAAAAAGAGUUUUGUGAUGAGCUGUAAAUAAAUAAAUAAAAACAGGACAGAGCAAAUAUGAGCAUUUUGCAGAAUGAUACUUUUGCAGUAUCAUUCCUGUGUAUCUUAGCAACAGUGAUUAUUCGGUAGCAUUAACUUCUUUUGUGAACAUAUUGCACAAGUGCAGAUGUGCACAUAAAUGAAAGUAAUAUUGAGUCCACUCAGAGUGACCUGAACUUCUCAAGAGGGGAGGGGCUUCAGUACCGUUCUACUCACUUUCUGAGGAAUUGAAACUGAAGAGCUGAACAAAGCCUAUUUAACCUGUCCUCCUGACACAUGGUGUACUUCUUUCUUACUUUUCACCAUGAAACCUUUUGGAGCUCUGAUCCUGGUUUUGAGUUUGUCUGCAGGUAAGAGCAACUUGUGAUUGGUUUGUCUUGUUCUUUACCAGAUAAUCAGAUAAUCACUGGUCCUUUCAGCUCUUCCAUUUUUAGACCAAACUGUAAGAGACAUGAAACUGAAGAGAGGUUCAGAUCACCUUGAAAAGCACAUCUGAACCACAAUCAUUCUGUGAUGUGAAAAAAAAAGAAAGAAUAAAUUUUUAAAAAUGGAUGACUUUGUAACUUUUGUACUAUUAAAAGUUUGAUUUAAAAUACACUAUAGUCAUGUACAGAUGCAAAACUAUUUUAAAAUUGCCUUUAUAAAUCAAAUUAUGGAGCUCACAGUAUUUUGCAAUAGAAAUGGCAGAUCCUGAAGGCCCUUUUACAUAUGACACGGCAUGCCCAGCGCUGCGCUCUAAAAACACAUUCAUUUCUAUUGCUUAGAUCGCAAAGGGCUAUUUACCUGCAUAUACUCUAUAGAUCUGCAGGGUAUUAUUUUAUCUAAUCUGGGUUAUUAUUGUUGGGUUAUUAUUAUUGUCUUUGGGAUUUUUAAAAAAUAAAACUCCUGGUCCAGUUCUAUUUUCUUUCUCUCUCUCUCUUUUAAUUUCCUGUUGCAUUCUCUGAGCUGUGGUACCACAAACUUUAUGAGAAACCUUUUCUCUGAAUGAAAAAAAGCUUUUCUGGAUCUCAUUAAGACAUCUGCAGUCUAAUGGAUGAUGCUUUGUAUUUGGAGAAUCUUCAUUGAUGAAUGACAGCUGUCUUUGUUUCUCUGCAGCAUGUGGAUUAAAAUGCUACGUAUGUGCACUCUCUGACCCUCACUCCUGCACUGAUGUCUUAACUUGUCCUGCUGGUAUGGACCGAUGUUUCAGCCUUACUACAAGCGGUACCGUCACUAC
ensembl:lncRNA